GGGUAACUCAGCUGGUUAGAGUGUGGUGCAGAUAAUGCCAAGGUUGCAGGUACGAAACCUGUAUGGGACA